GUAGGGAAUAUUGCUCAAUGGGGGAAACCCUGAAGCAGCAACGCCGCGUGGAGGAUGACACUUUUCGGAGCGUAAACUCCUUUUGUUAGGGAAGAACAAUGACGGUACCUAACGAAUAAGCACCGGCUAACUCCGUGCCAGCAGCCGCGGUAAUACGGAGGGUGCAAGCGUUACUCGGAAUCACUGGGCGUAAAGGACGCGUAGGCGGAUUAUCAAGUCUCUUGUGAAAUCCUAUGGCUUAACCAUAGAACUGCUUGGGAAACUGAUAAUCUAGAGUGAGGGAGAGGCAGAUGGAAUUGGUGGUGUAGGGGUAAAAUCCGUAGAGAUCACCAGGAAUACCCAUUGCGAAGGCGAUCUGCUGGAACUCAACUGACGCUAAUGCGUGAAAGCGUGGGGAGCAAACAGGAUUAGAUACCCUUGUAGUCC
rnacentral:rRNA from 1 species